rnacentral:rRNA from 1 species
UUAAGACCCGUAUGAAUGGUUAAAUGAAUAUUUAACUGUCUCCUUUAACUAAUCAGUGAAACUGAUCUUUCAGUACAAAAGCUGAAAUAAUAACAUAAGACGAGAAGACCCCGUGGAGCUUAAAACUUUUAACAAAAUAUUAUAAAGCACAUAUUUAUGCCAUAAAGUUUUUAGUUGGGGCGACUUUGGAGCAAAACCCAACCUCCAAGAAAAGGCACCGCCUACACCAAGGCCCACAAGCCAAACUACAAAGACCCAGUAUCAAAUACUGAUCAACGAACCAAGUUACCCCAGGGAUAACAGCGCCAUCUUCUUCAAGAGUUCAUAUCGACAAGAAGGUUUACGACCUCGAUGUUGGAUCAGGACACCCAAAUGGUGCAGCCGCUAUUAAAGGUUCGUUUGUUCAACGA